AAUUGAUCCGACGGUUCUCCGUCCAGGAAGAAUCGACGUUCACAUACACUUCCCUUUAUGUAAUUUCAACUCUUUCAAAACCCUAGCGAAUAGCCAUUUGGGUUUAAAAGAUCACAAGCUUUUCCCACAGGUAGAGGAGAUUUUUCAAACCGGGGCGGCUCUCAGCCCGGCUGAAAUCGGCGAGAUUAUGAUAUCAAACCGGAGCUCGCCGACUCGGGCAUUGAAAACAGUCAUUUCAGCUCUGCAAAUCAACACCGAGUCGAGGGCGGCGACUCGGCAUGCACGGCGGUUGAGCGAGAGCGGGUCGGUUCGAGCCGCCGAGGAAACGGGUGAGUCGGGUAUUUUUUGCAAAGAGAAUCUCAGAGAGUUCAAGAAGCUAUAUGGACUUUUACGAGUAAGGAGUUGUAGAAAAGAUUCAUCCUACGAAUUUGAUACGUCAGAUAAAGAUAAUUCAAAGGCAUGAUAAUUAACACUAACAUAUGUUUG
rnacentral:misc_RNA from 1 species